CCCUUAGAUGUUCUGGGCCGCACGCGCGCUACACUGACGGAGGCAGCGAGCAUGUCCUUCGCCGAGAGGUGUGGGGAAUCUUGUGAGUCUCCGUCGUGCUGGGGAUAGAUGGUUGCAAUUGUCGAUCUUGAACGAGGAAUUCCUAGUAAGCGCGAGUCAUCAGCUCGCGCUGAUUACGUCCCUGCCCUUUGUACACACCGCCCGUCGCUACUACCGAUUGGAUGGCUUAGCGAGAAUUUUGGAUCGGAGCCCGGGUGGUCGGCAACGGUCGCCCGGGAGAUCUGAGAAAUCAUUCCAGCUUGGUCAUCUAGAGGAAGUAAAAGGCGUAACA
rnacentral:rRNA from 1 species